UACGGAGGGAGCUAGCGUUGUUCGGAAAUACCGGGCGUAAAGCGCACGUAGGCGGCGCAGCAAGUCAGGGGUGAAAUCCCGGGGCUCAACCCCGGAACUGCCCUUGAAACUGCAGUGCUAGAAUUCUGGAGAGGCGAGUGGAAUUCCGAGUGUAGAGGUGAAAUUCGUAGAUAUUCGGAAGAACACCAGUGGCGAAGGCGACUCGCUGGACAGACAUUGACGCUGAGGUGCGAAAGCGUGGGGAGCAAACAGG
rnacentral:rRNA from 1 species